CCUACGGUGGGCAGCAGUAGGGAAUCUUCCACAAUGGGCGCAAGCCUGAUGGAGCAACGCCGCGUGGGUGAAGAAGGUCUUCGGAUCGUAAAACCCUGUUGUUAGAGAAGAAAGUGCGUGAGAGGAACUGUUCACGUUUCGACGGUAUCUAACCAGAAAGCCACGGCUAACUACGUGCCAGCAGCCGCGGUAAGACGUAGGUGGCAAGCGUUAUCCGGAUUUAUUGGGCGUAAAGGGAACGCAGGCGGUCUUUUAAGUCUGAUGUGAAAGCCUUCGGGUUAACCGGAGUAGUGCAUUGGAAACUGGGAGACUUGAGUGCAGAAGAGGAGAGUGGAACUCCAUGUGUAGCGGUGAAAGGCGUAGAUAUAUGGAAGAACACCAGUGGCGAAAGCGGCUCUCUGGUCUGUAACUGACGCUGAGGUUCGAAAGCGUGGGUAGCAAACAGGAUUAGAUACCCGGGGAGUC
rnacentral:rRNA from 1 species